rnacentral:rRNA from 1 species
UAACUUUUCGGAUGUAGGAUAGAGGCCUACCAUGGUGGUAACGGGUAACGGGGUGUUAGGGCACGACACCGGAGAGGGAGCCUGAGAAACGGCUACCACAUCCAAGGAAGGCAGCAGGCGCGCAAAUUACCCAAUCCCGACACGGGGAGGUAGUGACAAUAAAUAACAAUACAGGGUUCUUUUGGAUCUUGUAAUUGGAAUGAGUACAAUUUAAAUCUCUUAACGAGGAACAAUUGGAGGGCAAGUCUGGUGCCAGCAGCCGCGGUAAUUCCAGCUCCAAUAGCGUAUAUUAAAGUUGUUGCAGUUAAAAAGCUCGUAGUUGAAUUUCGGGAUCAAUGUUUCGGUCAUGCCGUUGGUAUGUACUGAUAUUAUUGGUUUCUCACCUUCUAAAGAACCGUAAUGCCAUUAAUUUGGUGUCACGGGGAAUUAGGACUGUUACCUUGAAAAAAUUAGAGUGUUUAAAGCAGGCUCACGCUUGAAUACAUUAGCAUGGAAUAAUGAAAUAGGACAUCCGAUUCUAUUUUGUUGGUUUCUAGGAUCGAUGUAAUGAUUAAUAGGGAUAGUUGGGGGCAUUAGUAUUCAAUUGUCAGAGGUGAAAUUCUUGGAUUUAUUGAAGACUAACUACUGCGAAAGCAUUUGCCAAGGAUGUUUUCAUUAAUCAAGAACGAAAGUUAGGGGAUCGAAGACGAUCAGAUACCGUCGUAGUCUUAACCAUAAACUAUGCCGACUAGGGAUCGGAUGAUGU